rnacentral:lncRNA from 1 species
CCGCACAAGCUGGAUUCCUCAUUGGCUCAGGUUUGGGUGCGAAUUUUCAAUCUUCCACAUGAGCUCUGGCAUCCAGAGGUCAUUACUGGUAUUGCUCGUCAGGUUGGUGCCCCUUUAUUAUUGACGGUUUGCGGCUAGAGCGUCUGUUGGCAAUUUUGCCAGGGUCUUAGUGGAACUUAAUGUGGCUCUCGAAAACCCCACAUUCCUUGACGUUAAAUGUGAUGAAAACACUUAUGAAAUUGAGUUUCGUUAUGAGGAUAUUUCUCUAUUUUUGUGGUUAUUUGCUCUUCUCUUGGUCAUACUACAGAUAAAUGUCGGCAGUUGAACCCGGAGGCUGAUCCCAAUGUUACGGAGCCCCACUAACAGGGAUUCCGGUCAGGUUACUGGUCGGCAAGGCCGACGUCGCAGGAAUAGAGCUAGGCGCCGGAGGCCUUGGAGNUUAAUCACAAUAGAAUUAUUUUUCUAUUUUUAUUAUUAUUUCUUGAGUCGUGAAUUUAUUCCGGUUUAUGAAAAAUUAAAUCUACGGAUUUAAUUUAGAAUUUAUUCUAGCUAAGAAAGGAAGCAGAUAUCGAGUAGUUUCAUAAAAACGCGAUAUUAACAAAACCGGUAGUUGGAUUUUAUAUAAAAAAAAAAUGCAAUACAAUAUUACAGAUAUAGAAAUUCCAAGACAAGAAUUAUUGUUUAUGUUUAUAUUUCACUUUACAAACCCCUAUUUUUCUAUCUAUCUACCAACACUUAAAAAAAAGGAAUAGUGUAUGUGUGUGAAAAAAAAUCUGCAGCUAUCCCUUAAGCAUGCUCAGCCAUCUAUUCUGGACAUUUUUUUUGACUCCAGCUCCACGCCUAUGUAAUACUCUUUUUGACUCCAGCUCCAGCAGCAUAUUUGCAAAAUUUUCACACCCGAACACCUUCAUUUGGUUUCAGAUUUCAGCAGCUAUUAAUCUUCAUUUCAUUCCCAUUCCACACUUGUACUGCUCUUCAUCCAUCUCUGCCAAAGUAUUCACAAGUUUCAGUUUAAUUCAAUUCAUCUGCAACCUUCAACCAAAGCAAACAUUAAGGUAUUCUGUUUCUUUUCAAUUUACUUCCUCCUGUUACAUGAUGCACACCCACAGAAAUCAUAUUCAUUAGAUUGAAAUGCAUCAUACGAAGGGAGUAGCAUAACUAGUUACUUCUAUAGAAUCAAACACACUAUGACUUACACACAUAGCCUUAUCGUCUCACUUCUUACUUAUUAAAAAAAAAAACAACAGCAUGUUCACUUCUAUGUAUAACCAACAGCAUGUAACCAUACACGAUUUAGGCUUAAAAAUCAUGGCCUUUUACUUAGCACAACAACACCUAUAAUUCGUAGAAUAAGAGGGGAACGAAACUUGAAGAACUUAGCUUUUAGACAACGAGGGACGCGGCCCUGUUCAGUCGGGCCGAGAGACGACGAGUGGGCGACGACUCGCGGGUGAAGCAGCAGGCGUUCACCGGUUUCUCAAUGACAGCGGCGCGACGAAGCUCGCUGGUCCUCCAUUUUCAGCAACGGCGAAGGCAGCGGCUAUCUCCAGAUUUCGGAGUGACAGGGGCGUUGGGGAGGACGACGCGACGAUGGAGCUCUCACCGGCUUCGGAACUCGGAGAAAAAAACUGGAAACGGCGGACUCCCCGGCUCGCCAUUAACCGAACAGCAGCAACAGAGCCGAGAGGUCAGGGCUCAACCCUUGCCUUCGUCGUGUCGGCACAAACGUGUGCGUCAGAGCAGGGAGCGGCGAUGGCCUCACUAAUUUCAGAGGCGACAACAGCCAGGCUCGCCCGAACUAAUCGCAUCAGAUCGAGACCCCGACUGUUCGCCGGCCUCCCUACAGCAGCGGCGCUCGGUGCUUGGCAGCAGGUUUCAGGCGAGAAGCUCGCCUUGGUGCUCCACGAUCUGUUAAGUCGAGAGUGAGAGAGACGACUAGAGAUGGAGGAGAACGAACGGCGACCCACCGGAGUAGAGACAGCGGCGGAUCGAGACCCAAAUCGAGUGAGAAGAGGGAGAUGACUGACCGGCGGUCCUUCGCCGGAGGAAACAAGAAGUGAGGGGCGAGGGGUGUUCCCGGUGACUGGUGUGUGUGCGAUUCGUGUGAGGAGGAGCCGCGGCGGCGAUUCGAGGGAGGAGAUGGCGUGAAUUAUUGAGAGAGAAGAAGGGCAGCGUUCACUGUGAGAGAAGACCGAGAGAGAGAGAUCAAAUUGGGAGUGUUUGGGAGUUUUUGGUGGGCCGAUUUUUUUGGUUAGGGGCUUAGUAUUUUGUUAAGCUUUGGGCCUUUCAUUUUGGGCUUCCCAUGGGGCUUCUAUUAUUUUUUUUGGGCUUCAAAUUUAUAUUAUUUGGGCUCCUACCUCUAGUUAUCUAAGUCCAAUAAGAAUUAUUGAUUUGAGCCCAAUAAGAAUUGUUAUUUUAGGCCCUCAUUAUUAAUCCUAAUUAUAUUUAAUUAGUGAUUAAUUUUAAGAUUUACUAAUUAUUAAUUAGUAAGUGAAUUAGAUUAUUUUAAGAUGAGUAGAUUAUUAAAGAUUAAUAAUCCGACCUCAUAAGACGAGCUUUAAUUCCUUAAAUAGGAUUAGCAUUUCAUUUAAUUGAAGGAAUAUGAGUCAUGCAUAAUCAUUUCACGCAUUCUCAUUUAUUGAGAUUUUUCGAGAAUUAGAAUCUUAUUUUAUUUUCUUGGAUUAAAGGUCAAGCACCAGAGUUGGAGCUAAAUCGUGAGUCUGCUAUUCAGGUGGGCUUUCUAUGUAUAAACUAAAAUUAUAUAUUAGAAUUGUUAAGACUUUAUGCUUAUGAAUUUAAAUGAUAUUGUCAAUGCCUAAAUGCUUUAUGUUUUAUUAUUAAUUGCCUAUCUGAUGUUAAUCGAAUUCGGAUUCUGGAUGGGACCGCAAAUCCCUUCGGAAUUAGUGUACACCUUGUGAUCGUGAGUCAUCUAGCGGGUUGGCCGAUCAUAGUGUCCGUAGAGGGAGGCCUCCCUCUCGGCACGAGUUACUGAUAUGGUAAUUAAUGAUAUAAAAUACCUGCGCGGGUUAUUGAUGAAAGAAAUGAUAUUAUGUUUGGUAAAUACGAGUCUUUAAAGGAAAACCCUCGUAUCUUACUACUGUUGAAAGGCUUGACAAUAAAAUAUUAUGCAUGUAUGUAAAUUUCGGCAAGUGUCCACUAAGUACUUUUGUACUUAGCCCUGCAUGUAUUUUUAAAUGUGCAGGUUGAGCUGUGAUCGAGGAUGUAGUGUGCAAGCGAAGCUUUUGUCGAUCUAGGAUGAUUACCUCAGAGUAGAGUAUAUGUCUUCAUACAUAUACUCAAAUUGUUAUUCCGCUGCGAACACUGAUUAUGUUAAGAUAUUAUGUCAUUUGUCAAACAAUAUGUAUUAUUUAAUAAUGUACUAAAACCAUUGAGUACCCGUUUUGAGAUAAUAUUAUGUACGGUCCUCUUGUGGCCUUCGUUGAUAUCUAGAUAUUUCGAUUGAAUUCUUUAUACAAGUCGAGUCAUCAAGAAGCUAAACAUGCCCCUUUUCUAAUCCCGCUCCUAAUUCCCCUCCCCUAGUCGCGAUUUUCCCGAAUUUGCUAUCCUUAGCAAGUGCGGUCGUGACAUCCGGGCUGCCGGAAGCGGUGUUUGAUUGGAGCUCUGUUCAGUCGCAGUCUUCACAAUCGGCGGCUGUAGUUUUCUGGCCUAGGGUUUCUGUUUUGGAGACGUCUGCUGUAGGGUUUACGCGAACUCCUUCCUUAGAUAUCGUGGCCUCUACUCCGGUGCAUAUUGGGGAGGGUACUGGAGUCUCCGGCACUACUCGAGCGGCGAGUUCUCCGCUGCUGGAGUUCGCGAGUUCUCAGGAACUGCCCCAACUGGAAGAGAUGGUUCCUCACACUACACAACAGCAGACUCUUAAUAGGAAAACGUUUGCGGAAUCUCUUAAGUCUCCUUCUGAUCGUCCGGUUGAUGUUCCGGCCCACGAUUAUGCGGUAUUGAAGCCGACGAUUUUGGCUAAUCGUCCUUGCCUCAUUCUCUCUUCAGCCUUCCGUCAGAGACAGAUUAAAUCGUUUCAGCAUGCCAUCCAUGGCCGAAUUUUCCUCAAAAAAGGUCAAGCGCCUAGGUUCGCUGCCGACCUUUACUCGGAGCUCUCAAUCAUUUGGAAAUCGUCGGCGAACUGGGAGGUUAUCCCGCUCGGGAAGGGAUAUUUUACGCUAAAAUUCUCUACACAUUCGGACUUUGCCGUUGCUUUUGCUAAGAACAUGUGGAGACUCCGUUCAGGAACUUUCUUCCUUCAGGCUUGGACACCGAAUUUCAACCCGCACAAGCUGGAUUCCUCAUUGGCUCAGGUUUGGGUGCGAAUUUUCAAUCUUCCACAUGAGCUCUGGCAUCCAGAGGUCAUUACUGGUAUUGCUCGUCAGGUUGGUGCCCCUUUACUUAUUGACGGUUUGUCGGCUAGAGCGUCUGUUGGCAAUUUUGCCAGGGUCUUAGUGGAACUUAAUGUGGCUCUCGAAAACCCCACAUUCCUUGACGUUAAAUGUGAUGAAAACACUUAUGAAAUUGAGUUUCGUUAUGAGGAUAUUUCUCAUUUU